rnacentral:lncRNA from 1 species
UGUGCCAAAGACUUGGAUUGAUGAUGAGUUCAGAAUAGUAAUUGAGGAAAUUGGCCUAGGUUCAGUAGUGUUAUUGAGAUCUUAUAAAGGAUCCUCAAGACCCGUCUCAUAACCGUUGGUUUGCUUUUGUUGAGUAUUACAAGAGUGCAUGUGUGGACUGUUCAAGACAGAAACUAGCUACCCCAAAUUUUAAACUUUAUGGAAACACCCCAACGGUUACUUGGGCUGAUCCUAAAAUCACCCCUGAUCAUUUUGGCUACUGCUGCACAGGGACUAAAACUAAAGCAUAGGAUGGCGUAAAAGCUACUUUAGCUCCAAAGGUAUGUUUUGUUUAAUGCCAGCAUUUAUAUCUUGAGCUUACUUAUAUAAUUUUAAGCUUUAUGAUCUCGAGGUCAUGGGUUCAAGUUGCGGGAAACAACCUCCUGCAUAAAGUAUAGGGUAAGGUGGCGUACAUCAUAUUGCGAAGCGAUCCGACCACACUCCCUGGACCUGUGCAAUUGCGGAAGUUAAGUCAAGCACCGGGGCUCUUCUGAAUUAAAAAGGAACUUUGUGGUUGAUUGUUGAUGAAAAGAAUGAUAAAUGUAGCAAGCUCCAGCUCAAAGUUAUAGAGUUUGCCGUGGUAAUCAUGUUCAGAGGAGUGAAGAUGAUGAGUUAACCUUUACGAAAGGGUCACUGAUCAUACCAUGUGGCCACCAUAAAUACACCUCUAUACAUCUCUUGAGGGGAGCAUUUUUUUUAGAUUUUUAUUUAUAAAAAAAGUUGUCUUUGUCCAUUACUAUUGGAAGUUCUUGGUGAAUAAGUUUUUGAUUUUUUUUUUGCA